CCCUUAGAUGUCCGGGGCCGCACGCGCGCUACACUGAAGGAAUCAGCGUGGCUUUCUCCCUGACCCGAAAGGGUUGGGAAACCCGUUGAAUCUCCUUCGUGAUAGGGAUUGGGGCUUGAAAUUGUUCCCCAUGAACGAGGAAUUCCCAGUAAGCGCGAGUCAUAAGCUCGCGUUGAUUACGUCCCUGCCCUUUGUACACACCGCCCGUCGCUACUACCGAUUGAACGGUUUAGUGAGAUCUCCGGAUUGGCUCUGUAGGUCCCGCAAGGGAUUUAUUAGUAGCCAAGAAGCUGCUCAAACUUGAUCAUUUAGAGGAAGUAAAAGUCGUAACA
rnacentral:rRNA from 1 species